GUACACUCCUGCGGGAGGCAGCAGUGGGGAAUUUUGGACAAUGGGCGAAAGCCUGAUCCAGCAAUGCCGCGUGAGUGAAGAAGGCCUUCGGGUUGUAAAGCUCUUUUGUCAGGGAAGAAACGGUGAAAGCUAAUAUCUUUUGCUAAUGACGGUACCUGAAGAAUAAGCACCGGCUAACUACGUGCCAGCAGCCGCGGUAAUACGUAGGGUGCAAGCGUUAAUCGGAAUUACUGGGCGUAAAGCGUGCGCAGGCGGUUUUGUAAGUCUGAUGUGAAAUCCCCGGGCUCAACCUGGGAAUUGCAUUGGAGACUGCAAGGCUAGAAUCUGGCAGAGGGGGGUAGAAUUCCACGUGUAGCAGUGAAAUGCGUAGAUAUGUGGAGGAACACCGAUGGCGAAGGCAGCCCCCUGGGUCAAGAUUGACGCUCAUGCACGAAAGCGUGGGGAGCAAACAGGAUUAGAUACCCGGGUAGUCCC
rnacentral:rRNA from 1 species